rnacentral:tRNA from 1 species
UUACCAGGCAGAUGCCACUAGUGGACAUGGCAUCUGCCCGGUAAGCGGAACAUUGUGGGUUCGAUUCCCAUCCCUGGAAA